UGGAAGAGGAUACAUGUGUUUAUUAAGCAAUAAAUAAUGACAGUUUAUGAAUAGAGACGUUUGUUUUCUGGUUCUUUCAUCCUAAAUCGAACGGUUAGACCCAAGAGGUCAAAGGGCCCAGAUAAUAAGAAAUAAUGUUGGUCAAAUGCUGUGGUGUGAGGGAAAUGGCUUUAUGGAAUUCAUACAUUUUGACCAUAGAAUAUUUUAUAUUUUUCAUUUUUCUCACUAGACAAGAACAAUAAAGAAAUUCAUUCUCUUUUCUUGAUUGCUAUACCUUCCAUGUGACCCUCAGAGUGAUCUCUGGAGCUGUGCACAUUGGGUUAGGAAGCAUUGCAAAGACUACCUGCUCUUUAGCAUGUUGUUAGCAUGUUGCACACACCAGCAUGACACUGUUACAGAACAUGUAUUUCCUGCCAAAUAACACUAGUUAACUGCUGAAGCCUGUUUUGGGAGGAGGGUUUUAAGUUUUAAAACUGUUGAAAACUGUGACCGUGAAAGAUGUGCACAAGUUUACUCUGCAUCUCCUUGUACUGCCUCACUGUCACUGAAGCAACACAAUACGUGGAAAAUAAAUAUCAGAGCUAAGAGUAACAGGUGGGCUACUGUUGUGCUACUACUAACACACAUUCCAUCGGACCAGGAUUCAUUAUUUAUAUUGAUUAAUUAACUUUUCUUCUAAUGUUACCAUGGUAACCGCAUUCAUCACAGAGGGAUUUCUAGCAUACAAACGUUCCAUUGCGUUGACUCUUACUGUGAAAAUCUACGUACUGGCGGUUUAGCGUAUUUUGGUUUUGUAGGCAAAACCCAAAAAGGGAUUAAUGCAGUAAAAAGUUUCUGUCUCGUUUUUGGUUCUAAACGAAAAUCGCUAAAACGGGCGCCCACUUCCGUACGAAAAACGAGAAAACAAAAGGUACACAAACCUCAGUCUACAGUACUUACUGAACAGUAACUGCGUUGUCGCAGGCAGAGGUGGUGCAAAUUUAUUGUGCUUCUCCCAAAGUGCAAACAAGUGGAAACAACAUUAUAUUCACAGGAAACUCUUGGACAAAUCAUUUUUUUUUUAAAGUCACCAUUUCUUUGUUCUCUAAAUGGAUUUCUCCCUCUGCCCACCACGGGCCACACGAAACAAAGCAACUAACCCUUCCAUCCUGAGGAGGUUCCUUUAAAAACCCUAAGCCACACCGUGUGCGUCUAUGUGUGCAUAUCUAUGUGUGUGCGAGUGCUGUGUGUGCAGCCAGCAAUGGCCACUUCUAAGGUGUGUGGGUUAAUAUGACCCGCAUGACUUCCAAAGGAAUUGUCCUGCCCUCGCCAGCAAUUUGAUAUAUCGCACCCCUGAACAGACCCUUAUUUUGUAUAUAUUAUAUUAUAUUUCAGGAAUCAGGAAACAUUUAUUGCCAAAAUAUGUCAAACAUACAAGGAAUUUGUCUUGGCGGUUGGUGCGUGACAGUAGACAGUGUAACAAUAGACAACAGCGCACAAGUAAUAAAAUAAAGUAAAAUGAAAUGCUAAUGCAAUGCGUUAGUAGAAUAAGGCUAUGGGUUAGUGUAAAACAAGAUAAUAAAAUUAGAGUUAAAAAUUUAAAAUAUUAAAAAAGUUAAAAAAAUAUUAAGCAUAAAGUGCACUAGCGAACAAGUGACAAAGUGACGAGUGACGACAAAGUGAUAAAUGACAGUUAAAGUGACAUGUGCAGUGUGAAGGGAGUGACCGGUGGAAUGUUAUAGUCAGUCAGAGGGGGACCGGCUCUGUUGAUGAGCCCGACUGCCGACGGGAAGAAACUGUUGGUGUGGCGGAAGGUCUUGUGAUUGGUACUGUAGAUUA
ensembl:lncRNA